CGUGGCUCUGGGUGGAUUUUAGAAAAGAGUAAGAGGUUCACUCGGUAAAAGUUUAUAUGGAUGAUAAGAAAAGCACGGACAGAGGUAGAAGUGGCUGUGGGGACUUAGAGAGAUUUAGAUUUAGAUGCACUGAAUAGGUGGGACUUGAACUGCCUGUGAAAAUUAGAAACAACUAACUUAAUCAGCAGUGAAGUUGCCCUCUAAAAAUUAAACUGUUAAAUGAGCAAAGGUUGUUACUAUUAAGAGGCAAAAUAGCUCCUGGAUCAUGUCAACCUUGUCUAAGAAUUAUCUACAGAAAGAAAAUGACAAUCUGAAGCAGAGAUAGAUAGGUCAGCUAUGAAACCACAGACAAAGGCAAGUCUCAGAGGCACCUUCUGCUCCUGUCCAGGAAAGGGACAUCCUGGCAUUGUCAAGCUGCUCGGAGUGUCUGUUCUUUUCGGCAGGUAGAUGGAGAUGGAUGUGUGCUGCCAUUGGAGCCUGAUGAGUCUAAGCAUUUGAAACAAGCAUCGUGCUCACCAAGCAACCUUCUGUUAAUGUGGCUCCCUCUGUAGCUUGCCUGCAGGGCAGGAAUUCACUGGUCAGACUGAUGCAAAUGUCUGGUCCAGUUAACGGUAAUAUUUUUCAUUGUAAAUUAAUACAGUGGCUUUCCCAUUUAUAUGCUUCAGUCUUUUGUGAGUCGGUACAAGUCAUCCCCUCUGAAUAAUCAGCUCUGGGCAUUAACCAGACCAAAUGCUGGGACCUGCAUUGCUGAGGUCUGGACUCCAGCUGUGAUGAAUUCACCCUGAAAUGUUACCCUGCAAGGUCUCUUGGCAGCUGGCCUUCUCCUGGGACAUAGUGACCUUGAAGUACCUGACAUCUGAAAUGUCGACAUAUGCAUUCCAACACUGGCUCUCCUGGGAACAGUCACUGCUGGGGCAUAUGUGCAGGGAGUUGUAAGAUGUGAUUAAUUGAAUAUUGAAGAAAUGUCUCUACUGGUGGGAAAAGAAUUUUAAUUAUGUAUACUAUAGACAUACUCUUUAAAUAUGAUAAUAGCUAAUAUUUAUUGAUUUAUUGAGCAUGAAGUGACAAACAUUAUUCUAUGCAUUUUAAAUAGGAUUUAAGUUCUAUAUUUAUUCCCAUUUUAGAGACUGUAGAAGCAGAAGGUAUGACUGAUUAAAUCAUUUGCUUAGGGUCAUAUCAGUAGCAAAUGAUGGGAUAGUGAUUUGAACUCAGACUUAUUACCCCCAAAGUUAAGAGAAUGUACUCUGGAGUCAGAUUUGUCCUAGCUGGAAACUCAACUUUACCACUUAAUACAGUUUUGACCUUGGAUAAAACACUAACUACCCCCCCAACCUGCUCCCCGCCCCAAUCAGUCUUGUCUCUAAAUGCUUAACACGUAGGGUUGUAAUAAAGCACAAAAGGAAUUAUAAAAAUAAAGUACUUAGCAAUGUAAAGUGCUUUGUGAUGCAUCUUGUGCAGAGUAAGCUCAAGAAAGGUUAUCUGUUAAUGCGACAGAGUGUCAAAAAUAUUUAAUAUGUGAAAAGUAAUACCACAUACCCAGAUCAGUGUCUGGGUCUAAUUUGUCAUGAGUAUCCAUCCUUCUCACUCCAGACAAACACCUCUGAUAUUUCAUAAUACAACUUAAUUUAUUAUAUAAGCCUCACUCUAAAACUUCAGGUCAGGUUUUAAAAAUCUGUAGACAGAGAUAAACAGACAAAAUAAGGCCCAAAAGAAUAUCAAAAGGAAACAAAAUGUGGUACGCAUGUAUUUCUAUAACUGAUUUGAAUUGCACAGCUCAUCUGGCUCUAAGCUCCUGAGAAGCCAAGCCAAAGGGGUAAGGUGGUGAGUUUAAGGCUCACAGUCCCCAUAAGAUGAAAAUGAACCUCUUUUUCCAUAGUUUUGAAGACUGAGAGAACUUACCCACAAGGGUCCUCAUAAAGGUGGUAUUUUGUAAAGUAGCUUCAUUGUCAACCAUCUAAUCCCCUACCAUGCUUAUAGUAAUAAACCUCAAUAGUUUUAAAAUAGCAACAUCACAUUUCAAGAACCUAAAAUAAAAAUUUAAAAACUAACUAAAAAUAAUGUGGCAGAGUUCCCAGUGUGGCACAGUGGGUUAAUGACCCAGCUUGUGUCUAUGGAAGUGCAGGUUCAAUCCAUGGCCCAGCAAAAUGGGUUAAGGAUCCAGUACUGCUAAAGCUGUGGCUGAGGUCACAUAUCCUGACUUUGAUUCAAUCCCUGACGUAGGAACUUCCAUAUGCCAUGGUGCCAGCCAAAAGUGAAAAAAAAAAAAAAAAAGAAACUAAAUUAAAUUAAAAUUAAAAAAAUAAAGCACACACUCAAAUGCAUGGCUUUCCUAUUUGCCUGAAACUGGACUGCCUCAUGAUCAUGGGUCCAUGCCCACAGUCUGCACCUUCAGAUCCCCCAAAGCCUGCUGUAGUGUCCUGUCCUUGUACAGAUAUCCCUCUGCAAAAUGCCAGGCUACACUUUUCCUCUCAUCAGCUUUAUUCCAGAGACCUGUGCUUUUUUUCUGUUUUAUUUUCAGUUAUAUUUUCCAUUUCUCUGGCAAUGCAGAGAAGAGGUCAAAGUCGUUCAUCUGGAACUAGGAGGAAGAAAAAAAAGAAAAGAAAAUCUCCACCAAACAGCAAGCUUACUAUUCCAAAUAGUAAAUGGAUGGGAGAGAGCAAGUGCCUCUGGAACUGGAAAACCCGGCUUCAGACAAUAAAUCAAAAGCACUUAAAACUGUAUGCCUGUUCACAACCCCAGAAAGACCAGAAGCGCCAGGGCCAGACUAGCGUGGAAAGGUCAUUCUCAUACUGUUUUCUGCAGUCUCAAGGGAUGAGGAAACUGAGGGUCAGAGGGGUUCGUUUGAGGUCUCAGAGACAGAGGCACAUCUGUACCUAAAAUCCGGAGGCCAG